rnacentral:rRNA from 1 species
CAAGUCGAGCGGUAGCACAGAGAGCUUGCUCUCGGGUGACGAGCGGCGGACGGGUGAGUAAUGUCUGGGAAACUGCCUGAUGGAGGGGGAUAACUACUGGAAACGGUAGCUAAUACCGCAUAACGUCGCAAGACCAAAGUGGGGGACCUUCGGGCCUCAUGCCAUCAGAUGUGCCCAGAUGGGAUUAGCUAGUAGGUGGGGUAACGGCUCACCUAGGCGACGAUCCCUAGCUGGUCUGAGAGGAUGACCAGCCACACUGGAACUGAGACACGGUCCAGACUCCUACGGGAGGCAGCAGUGGGGAAUAUUGCACAAUGGGCGCAAGCCUGAUGCAGCCAUGCCGCGUGUGUGAAGAAGGCCUUCGGGUUGUAAAGCACUUUCAGCGGGGAGGAAGGCGGUGAGGUUAAUAACCUCACCGAUUGACGUUACCCGCAGAAGAAGCACCGGCUAACUCCGUGCCAGCAGCCGCGGUAAUACGGAGGGUGCAAGCGUUAAUCGGAAUUACUGGGCGUAAAGCGCACGCAGGCGGUCUGUCAAGUCGGAUGUGAAAUCCCCGGGCUCAACCUGGGAACUGCAUUCGAAACUGGCAGGCUAGAGUCUUGUAGAGGGGGGUAGAAUUCCAGGUGUAGCGGUGAAAUGCGUAGAGAUCUGGAGGAAUACCGGUGGCGAAGGCGGCCCCCUGGACAAAGACUGACGCUCAGGUGCGAAAGCGUGGGGAGCAAACAGGAUUAGAUACCCUGGUAGUCCACGCUGUAAACGAUGUCGAUUUGGAGGUUGUGCCCUUGAGGCGUGGCUUCCGGAGCUAACGCGUUAAAUCGACCGCCUGGGGAGUACGGCCGCAAGGUUAAAACUCAAAUGAAUUGACGGGGGCCCGCACAAGCGGUGGAGCAUGUGGUUUAAUUCGAUGCAACGCGAAGAACCUUACCUGGUCUUGACAUCCACAGAACUUUCCAGAGAUGGAUUGGUGCCUUCGGGAACUGUGAGACAGGUGCUGCAUGGCUGUCGUCAGCUCGUGUUGUGAAAUGUUGGGUUAAGUCCCGCAACGAGCGCAACCCUUAUCCUUUGUUGCCAGCGGUUAGGCCGGGAACUCAAAGGAGACUGCCAGUGAUAAACUGGAGGAAGGUGGGGAUGACGUCAAGUCAUCAUGGCCCUUACGACCAGGGCUACACACGUGCUACAAUGGCAUAUACAAAGAGAAGCGACCUCGCGAGAGCAAGCGGACCUCAUAAAGUAUGUCGUAGUCCGGAUUGGAGUCUGCAACUCGACUCCAUGAAGUCGGAAUCGCUAGUAAUCGUAGAUCAGAAUGCUACGGUGAAUACGUUCCCGGGCCUUGUACACACCGCCCGUCACACCAUGGGAGUGGGUUGCAAAAGAAGUAGGUAGCUUAACCUUCGGGAGGGCGCUUACCACUUUGUGAUUCAUGACUGGGUGAAGUCG